AAAACCGCCCUUUUCAGGGCGAUAGAAAUAAUGUAUAGAGUUUUUU
rfam:Lutzomyia longipalpis Contig24475, whole genome shotgun sequence.